CGCUGUCAGUGCGAGCCCGAAACGGGACUUGAACCCAUGAACCGUGAGACCAUGAUCUGCGCUGAAAUCAAGAGUCGGACAUUUAACCUCCUGAGCCACGCAGGCAUCCUCCAAAAAUUGGUUUCUGAGUUCUAUAGUUAUAUAUCUUGACUUAUUUUAAUAUCAGCCUUUCCAGAAUUCCACAAAUAAGCCAUGGCUAAUUAAAGAAAAAGUGAAACUUGCCUAUGCUUUAUCUGCUAUAGAAAAUAAGUAACUACAUAUAUAAAUUGAAAUGCUUAGCAUUUGGAAAGAUGAGAAAAAAAUGUUGGCCUUCUACUUUAGCUAUAAACUUUUACCUGGAUUUUAGAAUUGUGAUCCAACUUCUAACCAGCAGAGUGUAGGAUUUUCAUUGUGUUACUUCCCAGGUUAUGCAAUUUCUAUAAAAUGGGUAAGAGGCUCUGAAGAGACUGACUGAUGACGCCAUGCCAUGUGCUUAGUUCAUUAUAAAUCAUUUCAAGUACCGCCAGCCAUUCUGAGCCAAUCAAAACAGAAAUGUUCUAACACAUUUGAGAGUAUCUUGUUUUACAGAGUGCUUUAAAAAGACAUGAACAGCACACAAGAUUUCAAAUGUACCAAAUUAUCCAGAAAGGAUUUUGGAACUGAUUCCUAUGAGGUUACUUUUCAUUAUUAUUUAAUGUGAUAUAUAAAAUAUAAUGCUUUUCUAUUUGAGAUCCUAGGGCCUGGAAUGGUUCUGCCUUCUACAAUUUUGCAAGCAAAUUUUAAAAUAUUUUAUUCCGGUCAUUUUUUUCCUAGACUUCAAAGGUGAAAAGUAUGUGGGCCAGAUAGGCCCUUUAGAUCUUCCCAUUUCAUGAUAACUCAGGUUAUUAGGGACCUCAAUUAACUUUGACUAGAAAAAAUAUCUUCUUCUACAGCUGAAAUGCUACCUCAGAUAAGGAUCCUUUGAAAUCCAGGAAAAACAUACAAGGAAAGCAUCCUAUCCUUUUUCCCUCUCAUGCUCCUUGAUUGUCUGGGUUUAAGUUUAGGGGUUCUUGGAUCUGGAUUCUGACGUCUCCACAGUUCACUUCUCUGAGAAAAGUUUUGUUUAUAGGAGAAGUCAACAGAAAAGCAUAUAUCAGCACACUCUACCUUGGAAACAGGUUGAGAAAUAAGAAAGCAGGCACAUGUAAUAACCAAUGAAAACCUACUUUUUUGCAAGCCUAAAAUGGGGGUACAUCUUUUGAAAUAUGAGAGGUUGGUUGUUUUUUUCACACUUUGCAGAUGAUUAUCUUGGUGUACUUGAGAGAAGCUGCACAGGCAUAAAAUCAUUUGUCUUUGUGUCUUCCUGUCUCUCACCCAGAGUAUUUGUCUUCUUUUCUACUUGCUAAGAACAGGAAAUUGCAGAAAUAAAGAUUUAAUCAGUUCCCAUUUCUUCAGUGAGUCUUGCUUGGUUUAACCCAGGUCAACAGCGCAUUUAGAUUUGCCCAAAUAAAUCAUGCAAUUUAUCAGAAUAGACUAGUUUUGUAUAGUUUUUAAUUAUCUUUUAAUCUUCCAGACCUUAAAUUCUUCUCACUAUGAAGAUUAUCUCUGAGGAGGUUGCUCUUUCAUAGUAAAAAUAGGCAAUACCUUUGAGGCACUUUCCAUUACUAAUUGACCUAGAUAAGUCCCCUUAUAGUAACUCAGUCCUGAGCAGGUUCUAGGUCAGGCUCGUAUGCUGAGUGUGGCACAGACUAUAUUAAUAUUAAUAGCACCUGAAGUCUGUAUAGCAUUUUAGUUAACACGGACCUUCCACAUGCUAUAUUUUAUCUGAGCCUCAACAAUCCUGAGGUUCCCAUGCACCAGGCUAGAGUUAUCCCACUUUACAAAUGAGAAAAAAGAUUCUGAGAAUGACUUUUCCAGCUGAGGUCAGUGUUCAGUCUAGAAGUGAAGAUUGUAGGCCCUUCCCGGCUACCCCUAAGAGAGAGAACUAUCCAAGGAGCAAAAUUAUCUGACCUACUUUCUCUCCUCUCCAACCCCCAACUCUUUCUCUGAGACAUUAUAGGAGGCCCUACCAUAGAGCAAGCAUGGACAACAGGGAAGAAAGGAGGAUGUAAUUUGUCAGGAGGGCCCAAAGUCCAGAUGGCAAGCCAGGCUGAACCCCACGGCUAUUUUACCUGCGGCCACAUACAGCACCGGGAGCCCUAAUAUCACCCCAAAACUUAGUGUUCCUGUAUUCCCAACUUGCUGAGCCAUGCUCCCUUUCCACUACUGCCCUGGAUUGCCUGGGCAGUUUGCGGUGGGGAACUAGGAAAGUCGAGAAUGACUUACCAGAAUAAUAAGAUUUAGCCUAGAACAAAGAAUUCCAAAUCAAUAGCCAAGGUUGCCAGAAGAUAUUUAAGAGAAAGGAGUACACCUGUUUACAGAAGCUGACAUUUCUGUAGUGAGACUACACAAGCACAAAGGAUUAAAGUGUUCGUAGUGAAGUGACAGGAAUAUUUUAAAUAAAGCAUGCUAAUACAUUUUGAGGCAAGAUGCUAUGUAUGUGUCACUUUAUUCAAUUCUUGAAACACAACCUUGAGAUAGCCUUUAUGAUUCCUGUUUCUCAGAUGAGGAAACUCAGGUUCAGAGAAUUUAAGUGGCCUGCUUGAGGUCACACACUUAGAAGUGGAGACAGAAUUCGAACUCAGACAACAAAUCCCAUGUCCUUUUCAGUAUACUGCCCUACAUCCUAAGGUGUAGUUUACCUGUUCUCAUUUCUUAUUUCCUUAUAUGUCCUAUCUCCAUAACCCAUUAUACAAAUGAGUUUGUAUUACUAUAGCAGAAAGCUGCUUCUCUGGUAGUCUAACUUCUAAGGAACAGGAACUAUGCAGAAAACUCUUUCUGAGAAGCAGAACAGAUGUUACGGCAGGCGUUCACAGGGCUUCUUAACUGGAACUGGAGUAAUGGAAAUUAUCAAUAAUUGCCACAGUAUCUCCCAUGUAUGAAGCCUUCAUUGGAUCUCCCAGAUGGAACAAGCUGUUCUCUCCUCAUUCCUUGAUUGUAAAACAUGACAAAUUUUAUUAAAAAUACUUUUUUUUAAAACCUUGGUGUCUACUCCACUAGACCGUGAGCUUCUCAAGGGCAGAUUUUUGAAUCCUACAUCUCUAUCAUCAAACAUAGUGGUUGGCACAGAGUGAAGGCCAAGAGUGCGCCUCUUGCUUCAUCUAAGAGAUGUUCUA